rnacentral:tRNA from 1 species
UGCUAUGUGGCUUAGUUAGUAAAAACACCGGUCUAACGAACACGGAGUCGUGGGUUCAAAUCCCACCAGAACGU